rnacentral:rRNA from 1 species
UCGGGAAUUUUGGGUAAUGGGCGCAAGCCUGACCCAGCAACGCCGCGUGAGGGAUGAAGGCCUUCGGGUCGUAAACCUCUGUCGGGAGGGAAGAACGGGUGCCGGAGUAACUGCCGGCAGUCUGACGGUACCUCCAAAGGAAGCGCCGGCUAACUCCGUGCCAGCAGCCGCGGUAAUACGGAGGGCGCAAGCGUUGUUCGGAUUCACUGGGCGUAACCCGCGUGUAGGCGGCUUGGCAAGUCGGGCGUGAAUUCCCGGGGCCCAACCCCGGAACUGCACUCGAAACUGCCUCGCUAGAGUCCCGGAGAGGAAGGCGGAAUUCCCGGUGUAGAGGGGAAAUUCGUAGAUAUCGGGAGGAACACCAGUGGCGAAGGCGGCCUUCUGGACGGUGACUGACGCUGAGACGCGAAAGCGUGGGGAGCAAACAGGAUUAGAUACCCCCGUAGUCC